rnacentral:tRNA from 1 species
GCCUGGGUGGCUCAGUCGGUUGAGCGUCCGACUUCAGCUCAGGUCACAAUCCCAUGGUUUGUGAGUUCGAACCCCAUGUCAGGCU